UACGUAGGGUGCGAGCGUUAAUCGGAAUUACUGGGCGUAAAGCGUGCGCAGGCGGUUCGCUGUGUCCGAUGUGAAAGCCCCGGGCUCAACCUGGGAAUGGCAUUGGAAACUGGCGGGCUUGAGUGCGGCAGAGGGGGGUGGAAUUCCGCGUGUAGCAGUGAAAUGCGUAGAGAUGCGGAGGAACACCGAUGGCGAAGGCAGCCCCCUGGGUCGACACUGACGCUCAGGCACGAAAGCGUGGGGAGCAAACAGG
rnacentral:rRNA from 1 species